AUGACAGGAUCUAGAGUCAAUCCAUGGGCUUUGUCGAUCGCGGGAGACGUGCCACCACCUAUGCAAAUUCCACAACGAUCACGAGAGGUGCAUAAACAUCCAAAUGCACAUGAUCAGGUUAAUGUUCUCAUACCAUCAUUUAAUGGCCGUUUUAGACCUGCUUUAUAUAUUGAAUGGGAGUUCGACAUAAAUAUUAUAUUUGCUUCCCAUAAUUUUGAUGAACGUAAAAAAGUUAAGGUUGCGGUUGGUUCUUUCACUGGUUAUGCUUUAGUUUGGUGGAGUGAAUAUUGUUGGUUACACCCUGAUUAUAUACCUAUUACAUGGGAUGAUUUGAAACUUGCCAUGCGACAUACAUUCGUCCCCGCUUAUUAUACUCGUGACAUGAUUAAAAAGUUGCAACAUUUAAAACAAGGUAGUGACACUGUAACGAAAUAUUAUGAUGAUUUACAAACUACCUUGUUGCAUUCCUCUUUAGAAGAAAGUGAAGAAGAAUUUAUGGAUAGAUUUUGGGGAGGAUUAAACCAUGACAUUCAGGAGAUACUAAUUAAUGAAACAUGUUAUCCUAUGGAUCGUUUGUUCCGUCUUGCAUGCAAAGCUGAACAGGAGAUAACAAGACGUGUUGCCCACAAGAUAAACAAGCGGAAGGUGCAAAUCCCACGAGCUGCGACGGUUGUUCCUUCCACCACUGCGUCUCCUAUGGCAACAACAUCCAUUGUUGAGAGCACUACAUCACCUCCACCGUGUGACAUGUCGCCACCUAGAGUGCCUACAUCAUCUUUGUUGAUCAUAAGAGGUAAUGACAAAGGUACCGAUCUUCCUCCUCCACAUGAGUAUGAUGAAUGCCUUGUCAAUUUAAAUGAACCAUGCGAUGAGCUACCCACUACUUUGAUCACACCAGCUAUUUUAGAGGACUAUGUUCAUGAUUUGACUUUGCCAUGUGAUCAAACAAUUUUGAGUGAACCCAUUGAAUUAACUAUUGAUGCAAAAGAACCACGUGAAUCAGUGAAAAGAUCAGAUUUGGAUCAAAUACGUUUGAAAAUAGUUGUGCCAGUGUUUAAUCAUUUUGAUAUGACCUCUAAUCUUGGUGAUGGUUCAUCAAGGUUGGGAUGGUUUAAUGAUGAGCAUUGCCAAUCUUUUAUUAUGAAUAAGAGCUUCACUUAUAUGUGCAAACUGAGUUGCAAUAUUUUCAUGCCUUUGACUUCUUCUGAUAAUAUAUUGGCUUUAUUUUUCACGACUUUUGAAGGGUGCUCUUGUCUAACUGUGUCACAUGUGCCACAACUGAGAUCAGUUAAAAUGGAUGACAUAUACAUAUACAACGUGUACACCUUGUCUCUAUUGUUAGCCAUAUUUCAGAUUAAGCAACGCCGAGGACGGCUUUGUUUUCAAGAAGGGGAGGAUGAUGAGGACAUGGCUACCACAGUUACACCCAUAUCCCCUGUUGUUUUACCUCUUGGAACAGUUGCUAGAGCUCAGAUACACCAAUUAAAUUAUCAGGUACUUUCGUUUCUUGGUAAUGUUUCUAGUGUUCAUGAGAAUAUGAUGCUGCCUAACGUAGAUACAUUUGUGUUGCUUGCAAUUGAAGGGCCUAGAACGGACAAGAAGGAUGAACAUUGGAGCAUGGUCAAGCACGGAGAUGAAGGUGUGUGCAAAGAGAACAAGAACGGAGGUUCAAGUGGAGAUUUCCGGACUUUGAAGCCACCAUGGAGACAUACAAGAAGAUGGACGAAAUAUACAAGAUGGCCUUUCAUAAAUUUCGUCCCUAGCUUAUUAUUGGUGUUGCGCCACCUUAUUUUGGGCCAGGCCCAUGUAAUCUAUUUUUAG
rnacentral:rRNA from 1 species